rnacentral:rRNA from 1 species
CUUCCGGCCCUGAGUAGAGUGGCGAACGGGUGAGUAACACGUGGGUGACCUGCCCUCGAGUGGGGGAUAACAUCCCGAAAGGGGUGCUAAUACCGCAUGACAUCCUGUCUUUGAACAGAUGGACAUUAAAGCCGGGGAUCGCAAGACCUGGCGCUCGAGGAGGGGCUCGCGUCCGAUUAGCUAGUUGGUGGGGUAAAGGCCUACCAAGGCGACGAUCGGUAGCCGGCCUGAGAGGGCGGUCGGCCACACUGACACUGACAUACGGGUCAGACUCCUACGGGAGGCAGCAGUCGGGAAUUUUGGGCAAUGGGCGAAAGCCUGACCCAGCAACGCCGCGUGAAGGAUGAAAUCCCUCGGGAUGUAAACCUCGCAAGAACAGGAAGAAUAAGUAAGGGUUAAUAUCUCUUACGAUGACGGUACUGUUUGUAAGCUCCGGCUAACUCCGUGCCAGCAGCCGCGGUAAUACGGGGGGAGCAAGCGUUGUUCGGAUUUACUGGGCGUAAAGGGCGCGUAGGCGGCCACCGCAAGUCGGUUGUGAAAUCUCUGGGCUUAACCCAGAAAGGUCAACCGAUACUGCGGGGCUAGAGUGCAGAAGGGGCAACUGGAAUUCUCGGUGUAGCGGUGAAAUGCGUAGAUAUCGAGAGGAACACUGCGGCGAANGCGGGUUGCUGGGCUGACACUGACGCUGAAGCGCGAAAGCUAGGGGAGCGAACGGGAUUAGAUACCCCGGUAGUCUAGCCUUAA